rnacentral:tRNA from 1 species
GGAGGUGGUAUGGCUCAGUGGUAAGAGCAUCUGCUUGGCUUGCGGAAGGUCCUGAGUUAAAUUCCCAGCAUUUUCA